UACGUAGGGUGCAAGCGUUGUCCGGAAUUAUUGGGCGUAAAGAGCUCGUAGGCGGUCUGUCGCGUCGGCUGUGAAAUCCCGAGGCUCAACCUCGGGUCUGCAGUCGAUACGGGCAAACUAGAGUAUUGCAGGGGAGACUGGAAUUCCUGGUGUAGCGGUGAAAUGCGCAGAUAUCAGGAGGAACACCGAUGGCGAAGGCAGGUCUCUGGGCCACUACUGACGCUGAGAAGCGAAAGCGUGGGGAGCGAACAGG
rnacentral:rRNA from 1 species